rnacentral:rRNA from 1 species
UGGGGAAUAUUGGACAAUGGGCGAAAGCCUGAUCCAGCCAUGCCGCGUGUGUGAAGAAGGUCUUCGGAUUGUAAAGCACUUUAAGUUGGGAGGAAGGGCAUUAACCUAAUACGUUAGUGUUUUGACGUUACCGACAGAAUAAGCACCGGCUAACUCUGUGCCAGCAGCCGCGGUAAUACAGAGGGUGCAAGCGUUAAUCGGAAUUACUGGGCGUAAAGCGCGCGUACGUGGUCUGUUAAGUUGGAUGUGAAAUCCCCGGGCUCAACCUGGGAACUGCAUUCAAAACUGACUGACUAGAGUAUGGUAGAGGGUGGUGGAAUUUCCUGUGUAGCGGUGAAAUGCGUAGAUAUAGGAAGGAACACCAGUGGCGAAGGCGACCACCUGGACUAAUACUGACACUGAGGUGCGAAAGCGUGGGGAGCAAACA